AUUGAACGCUGGCGGAAUGCUUUACACAUGCAAGUCGAACGGCAGCACGGGAGCUUGCUCCUGGUGGCGAGUGGCGAACGGGUGAGUAAUACAUCGGAACGUACCCAGUUAUGGGGGAUAACUAACCGAAAGGUUAGCUAAUACCGCAUACGCCCUGAGGGGGAAAGCGGGGGACCGUAAGGCCUCGGCGUAAUUGGAGC
rnacentral:rRNA from 1 species